CCUACGGGAGGCAGCAGUGGGGAAUAUUGCACAAUGGGGGAAACCCUGAUGCAGCGACGCCGCGUGAAGGAAGAAGUAUUUCGGUAUGUAAACUUCUAUCAGCAGGGAAGAAAAUGACGGUACCUGACUAAGAAGCCCCGGCUAACUAAGUGCCAGCAGCCGCGGUACUACGUAGGGGGCAAGCGUUAUCCGGAUUUACUGGGUGUAAAGGGAGCGUAGGCGGUUUAGCAAGUCAGAAGUGAAAGCCCGGGGCUCAACCCCGGGACUGCUUGUGAAACUGUUGAACUUGAGUGCAGGAGAGGUAAGUGGAAUUCCUAGUGUAGCGGUGAAAUGCGUAGAUAUUAGGAGGAACACCAGUGGCGAAGGCGGCUUACUGGACUGUAAAUGACGCUGAGGCUCGAAAGCGUGGGGAGCAAACAGGAUUAGAUACCCUGGUAGUC
rnacentral:rRNA from 1 species